ACAUCGUGAUAGCUGGUUCUCUCCGAAAUAUAUUUAGGUAUAGCGUUGUGUCGUAAUUAUAAGGGGUAGAGCACUGAAUGGGCUAGGGCAUAUACCAAUGUACCAAACCCUAUCAAACUCCGAAUACUUAUAAUGUAAUCACAGCAGUCAGGCGGCGAGUGAUAAAAUCCGUCGUCAAGAGGGGAACAACCCAGACUAACAGCUAAGGUCCCUAAAUCUCAUUUAAGUGGAAAACGAUGUGGAGUUACUGAAACAACCAGGAGGUUGGCUUAGAAGCAGCCAUCCUUUAAAGAAAGCGUAAUAGCUCACUGGUCUAGUGAUUCUGCGCGGAAAAUAUAACGGGGCUAAAAUGAGUACCGAAGCUUUAGACUUAGUUUUUAACUAAGUGGUAGGAGAGCGUUCUAUUCAGCGUUGAAGGUAUACCGGUAAGGAGUGCUGGAGCGGAUAGAAGUGAGCAUGCAGGCAUGAGUAGCGAUAAUUGAUGUGAGAAUCAUCAACGCCGAAAACCCAAGGUUUCCUACGCGAUGCUCGUCAUCGUAGGGUUAGUCGGGUCCUAAGCAAAGUCCGAAAGGGGUAUGCGAUGGAAAAUUGGUUAAUAUUCCAAUACCAAUUAUUAUGUGCGAUGGAAGGACGCUUAAAGUUAGUGGAGCUAGCGGAUGGAAGUGCUAGUCUAAGGGUGUAGGUUGAGUUAUAGGCAAAUCCGUAACUCUUUAUCCGAGACCUAAAAGGCUCAUGACGCUCUUCGGAGUAGAUUGAGAAUCCAUGAUACUAUCGAGCCAAGAAAAGUUUCUAAGUUUAGUAAUAAUUGCCCGUACCGUAAACCGACACAGGUGGGUGGGAUGAGUAUUCUAAGGCGCGUGGAAGAACUCUCUUUAAGGAACUCUGCAAAAUAGCACCGUAUCUUCGGUAUAAGGUGUGCCUAACUUUGUAUUAAGAUUCACUCCCAAAGCAAAGAAGGUUACAACAAAGAGUCCCUCCCGACUGUUUACCAUAAACACAGCACUCUGCUAACACGUAAGUGGAUGUAUAGGGUGUGACGCCUGCCCGGUGCUCGAAGGUUAAUUGAUGAUGUUAGCUAUGCGAAGCAUUUGAUCGAAGCCCGAGUAAACGGCGGCCGUAACUAUAACGGUCCUAAGGUAGCGAAAUUCCUUGUCGGUUAAAUACCGACCUGCAUGAAUGGCGUAACGAGAUGGGAGCUGUCUCAAAGAGGGAUCCAGUGAAAUUGUAGUGGAGGUGAAAAUUCCUCCUACCCGCGGCAAGACGGAAAGACCCCGUGGACCUUUACUACAGCUUGACACUGCUACUUGGAUAAAGAUGCGCAGGAUAGGUGGGAGGCUUUGAUCCAUAGACCCUGGUUUAUGGUGAGCCAUUGUUGAGAUACCACUCUUCUUUAUUCGGGUAGCUAACUAGCCUAAGUUAUCCUUAGGUAGGACAAUGUCUGGUGGGUAGUUUGACUGGGGCGGUCGCCUCCCAAAAUGUAACGGAGGCUUACAAAGGUUGGCUCAGAACGGUUGGAAAUCGUUCGUAGAGUAUAAAGGCAUAAGCCAGCUUAACUGCGAGACAUACACGUCAAGCAGAGACGAAAGUCGGUCUUAGUGAUCCGGUGGUUCUGUGUGGAAGGGCCAUCGCUCAAAGGAUAAAAGGUACCCCGGGGAUAACAGGCUGAUCUCCCCCAAGAGCUCACAUCGACGGGGAGGUUUGGCACCUCGAUGUCGGCUCAUCGCAUCCUGGGGCUGGAGCAGGUCCCAAGGGUAUGGCUGUUCGCCAUUUAAAGCGGUACGCGAGCUGGGUUCAGAACGUCGUGAGACAGUUCGGUCCCUAUCUGCCGUGGGCGUAAGAAGAUUGAGGAGAGUUGACCCUAGUACGAGAGGACCG
rnacentral:rRNA from 1 species